rnacentral:rRNA from 1 species
AAACUCUCGUUAAGGAACUCGGCAAAAUGACCCCGUAACUUCGGGAGAAGGGGUGCUCUGGUAGGGUGUUAAAGCCCGAGAGAGCCGCAGUGAAUAGGCCCAGGCGACUGUUUAGCAAAAACACAGGUCUCUGCAAAACCGCAAGGUGAAGUAUAGGGGCUGACGCCUGCCCGGUGCUGGAAGGUUAAGAGGAGAGGUCAGCGCAAGCGAAGCUUCGAAUUGAAGCCCCAGUAAACGGCGGCCGUAACAAUAACGGUCCUAAGGUAGCGAAAUUCCUUGUCGGGUAAGUUCCGACCCGCACGAAAGGCGUAACGAUCUGGGCACUGUCUCAACGAGAGACUCGGUGAAAUUAUAAUACCUGAGAAGAUGCAGGUUACCCGCGACAGGACGGAAAGACCCCGUGGAGCUUUACUGUAACCUGAUAUUGAAUUCCGGUGCAGCCUGUACAGAUAGGUAGGAGCCUUGGAUUCCGGAGCGCUAGCUUCGGAUGAGGCGUUGGUGGGAUACUACCCUGGCUGUAUUGGACUUCUAACCCAUGCCCCUUAUCGGGGCAGGAGACAGUGUCAGGCGGGCAGUUUGACUGGGGCGGUCGCCUCCUAAAGAGUAACGGAGGCGCCCAAAGGUUCCCUCAGAAUGGUUGGACAUCAUUCGUAGAGUGCAAAGGCAUAAGGGAGCUUGACUGCGAGACCUACAAGUCGAGCAGGGUCGAAAGACGGGCUUAGUGAUCCGGUGGUUCCGCAUGGAAGGGCCAUCGCUCAACGGAUAAAAGCUACCCCGGGGAUAACAGGCUUAUCUCCCCCAAGAGUCCACAUCGACGGGGAGGUUUGGCACCUCGAUGUCGGCUCAUCGCAUCCUGGGGCUGUAGUCGGUCCCAAGGGUUGGGCUUUUCGCCCAUUAAAGCGGUACGCGAGCUGGGUUCAGAACGUCGUGAGACAGUUCGGUCCCUAUCCGUCGCGGGCGCAGGAAAUUUGAGAGGAGCUGUCCUUAGUACGAGAGGACCGGGAUGGACAUACCUCUGGUGUACCAGUUGUCUUGCCAAAGGCAUCGCUGGGUAGCUAUGUAUGGACGGGAUAAAUGCUGAAAGCAUCUAAGCAUGAAGCCCCCCUCGAGAUGAGAUUUCCCAUUACGCAAGUAAGUAAGAUCCCUCAAAGAAGAUGAGGUUGAUAGGUCUGGGGUGGAAGCACGGCGACGUGUGGAGCUGACGGAUACUAAUCGAUCGAGGACUUAACCU